GCUAAGAAUAUUCCGCAAUGGACGGAAGUCUGACGGAGCGACGCCGCGUGGAUGACGAAGGCCGAAAGGUUGUAAAGUUCUUUUGCUGGGGAAGAAUAACCGCAGGAGGGAAUGCCUGUGGGAUGACAAGAACCGGCGAAUAAGCCCCGGCCAACUACGUGCCAGCAGCCGCGGUAACACGUAGGGGGCGAGCGUUGUUCGGAAUUACUGGGCGUAAAGGGCAUGUAGGCGGCUUGGAAAGCCUGGCGUGAAAGUCUGCAGCUUAACUGCAGGGGUGCGCUGGGAACUGCUGAGCUUGAGUGACGGAGAGGGAGCUGUAAUUCCUGGUGUAGGGGUGAAAUCUGUAGAUAUCAGGAAGAACACCGAUGGCGAAGGCAAGCUCCUGGCCGAUGACUGACGCUGAGGUGCGAAAGUGUGGGGAUCAAACAGGAUUAGAAACCCUGGUAGUCC
rnacentral:rRNA from 1 species